rnacentral:snoRNA from 1 species
GAUAAACGAACAAAAAGAAAAAUAUGGUUGGGAAUUCAUAUUUAUGGGAGCCAACAUUGAUGCAGUCAAAGAG